rnacentral:rRNA from 1 species
CCUACGGGGUGCAGCAGUGGGGAAUAUUGGACAAUGGGCGAAAGCCUGAUCCAGCCAUGCCGCGUGUGUGAAGAAGGCCUUCGGGUUGUAAAGCACUUUCAGUGGGGAAGAAAGCCUUGGGGCGAAUACCCUCGAGGAAGGACAUCACCCACAGAAGAAGCACCGGCUAACUCCGUGCCAGCAGCCGCGGUAAUACGGAGGGUGCGAGCGUUAAUCGGAAUUACUGGGCGUAAAGCGCGCGUAGGCGGUCUGAUAAGCCGGUUGUGAAAGCCCCGGGCUCAACCUGGGAACGGCAUCCGGAACUGUCAGGCUAGAGUGCAGGAGAGGAAGGUAGAAUUCCCGGUGUAGCGGUGAAAUGCGUAGAUAUCGGGAGGAAUACCAGUGGCGAAGGCGGUCUACUGGACUGACACUGACGCUGAGGUGCGAAAGCGUGGGUAGCAAACAGGAUUAGAUACCCUGGUAGUC